rnacentral:rRNA from 1 species
GGUUACUGCUAUCGGUGUUCGCCCAAGGCAUGCGAGUCAUAUGUUCGUAAGAACAUGGCGUACUGCUCAGUAACACGUGGAUAACCUGCCCUUGGGUCCGGCAUAACCCCGGGAAACUGGGGAUAAUUCCGGAUAACGCACAUAUGCUGGAAUGCUUUUUGCGUAAAAUGGAUUCGUCUGCCCAAGGAUGGGUCUGCGGCCUAUCAGGUAGUAGUGGGUGUAAUGUGCCUACUAGCCUACGACGGGUACGGGUUGUGAGAGCAAGAGCCCGGAGAUGGAUUCUGAGACAUGAAUCCAGGCCCUACGGGGCGCAGCAGGCGCGAAAACUUUACAAUGCGGGAAACCGUGAUAAGGGGACACCGAGUGCCAGCAUCCUAUGCUGGCUGUCCGGGUGUGUAAAAUACACCUGUUAGCAAGGGCCGGGCAAGACCGGUGCCAGCCGCCGCGGUAACACCGGCGGCCCGAGUGGUGAUCGUGAUUAUUGGGUCUAAAGGGUCCGUAGCCGGUUUGGUCAGUCCUCCGGGAAAUCUGACAGCUCAACUGUUAGGCUAUCGGAGGAUACUGCCAGACUUGGAACCGGGAGAGGUAAGAGGUACUACAGGGGUAGGAGUGAAAUCUUGUAAUCCCUGUGGGACCACCUGUGGCGAAGGCGUCUUACCAGAACGGGUUCGACGGUGAGGGACGAAAGCUGGGGGCACGAACCGGAUUAGAUACCCGGGUAGUCCCAGCCGUAAACGAUGCUCGCUAGGUGUCAGGCAUGGCGCGACCGUGUCUGGUGCCGCAGGGAAGCCGUGAAGCGAGCCACCUGGGAAGUACGGCCGCAAGGCUGAAACUUAA